GAUGAACGCUGGCGGCGUGCCUAAUACAUGCAAGUCGAGCGAACAGAAGAGGAGCUUGCUCCUCUGACGUUAACGGCGGACGGGUGAGUAACCCGUGGAUAACCCAACUUUUAGACUGGGAUAACUUCGGGAAACCGGAGCCAAUUCCGGGAAAUAUAUUGAACCGCAAUGUUCAAUAGUGAAAGACGGGUUUGCUGUCACUUAUUGAUGGAUCCGCGCCGCAUUUGCCAGUUGGUAAGGUAACGGCUUACCAAGGCAACGAUGCGUAGCCGACCUGAGAGGGUGAUCGGCCACACUGGAACUGAGACACGGUCCAGACUCCUACGGGAGGCAGCAGUAGGGAAUCUUCCGCAAUGGGCGAAAGCCUGACGGAGCAACGCCGCGUGAGUGAUGAAGGUCUUCGGAUCGUAAAACUCUGUUAUUAGGGAAGAACAAAUGUGUAAGUAACUAUGCACGUCUUGACGGUACCUAAUCAGAAAGCCACGGCUAACUACGUG
rnacentral:rRNA from 1 species